GAUGAACGCUGACAGAAUGCUUAACACAUGCAAGUCAUUGGCGAAGCUGCGCUUGCGCAGUCUAGCCAAGGCGGACGGGUGAGUAACGCGUAAGGAACUUGCCCUGCAGAUAGGGAUAACAGACGGAAACGACUGAUAACACCUGGUAUUGUCAGGCUGGCGCAUGCCGGCCUGAUGAAAGGAGACGCUGCAGGAGAGCCUUGCGUCCUAUUAGCUAGUUGGUGGGGUAACGGCCCACCAAGGCGAUGAUAGGUAGCCGGCCUGAGAGGGUGAACGGCCACAAGGGGACUGAGAUACGGCCCUUACUCCUACGGGAGGCAGCAGUGGGGAAUAUUGGACAAUGGGGGCAACCCUGAUCCAGCAAUUCUGUGUGCACGAAGAAGGUUUUCGGAUUGUAAAGUGCUUUCAGCAGGGAAGAAGAAAGUGACGGUACCUGCAGAAGAAGCGACGGCUAAAUACGUG
rnacentral:rRNA from 1 species